AGUGAACGCUGGCGGUAGGCCUAACACAUGCAAGUCGAACGGCAGCACAGUAAGAGCUUGCUCUUACGGGUGGCGAGUGGCGGACGGGUGAGGAAUACAUCGGAAUCUACUUUUUCGUGGGGGAUAACGUAGGGAAACUUACGCUAAUACCGCAUACGACCUACGGGUGAAAGUAGGGGAUCUUCGGACCUUGCGCGAUUGAAUGAGCCGAUGUCGGUUUAGCUAGUUGGCGGGGUAAAGGCCCACCAAGGCGACGAUCCGUAGCUGGUCUGAGAGGAUGAUCAGCCACACUGGAACUGAGACACGGUCCAGACUCCUACGGGAGGCAGCAGUGGGGAAUAUUGGACAAUGGGCGCAAGCCUGAUCCAGCCAUACCGCGUGGGUGAAGAAGGCCUUCGGGUUGUAAAGCCCUUUUGUUGGGAAAGAAAAGCAGCAGGUUAAUACCCCGCUGUUCUGACGGUACCCAAAGAAUAAGCACCGGCUAACUUCGUG
rnacentral:rRNA from 1 species